UACGUAGGGAGCAAGCGUUGUCCGGAAUCAUUGGGCGUAAAGCGCGCGUAGGUGGUCUCGUAAGUCCGCUGUGAAAGUCAAAGGCUCAACCUUUGAAAGCCGGUGGAUACUGUGGGACUAGAGUACGGAAGAGGCGAGUGGAAUUCCUGGUGUAGCGGUGGAAUGCGCAGAUAUCAGGAGGAACACCAAUAGCGAAGGCAGCUCGCUGGGACGUUACUGACACUGAGGAGCGAAAGCGUGGGGAGCGAACAGG
rnacentral:rRNA from 1 species